UACGAAGGGGGCAAGCGUUAUUCGGAUUUAUUGGGCGUAAAGAGCGUGUAGGCGGCCAGGUAGGUCUGCUGUGAAAACUCGAGGCUUAACCUCGAGCUGUCGGCGGAAACCAUCUGGCUAGAGUCCGGAAGAGGAGAAUGGAAUUCCCGGUGUAGCGGUGAAAUGCGCAGAUAUCGGGAAGAACACCCGUGGCGAAGGCGGUUCUCUGGGACGGUACUGACGCUGAGACGCGAAAGCGUGGGGAGCGAACAGG
rnacentral:rRNA from 1 species